rnacentral:tRNA from 1 species
CGUAGCUCAAUGGACAGAGCAAUGGAUUCCUAAUCCGUGUGCGCAGGUUCGAUUCCUGCCGG